CCCCCUGUUAAGAAAGCAGGCAGAGGAGGGUCUCUUGUGUUUCACGAUACAGCCAAGGAAGCAGAUGGCUCAACGCCUGGGCAAACCCUGGGUGAAGCUGGAGGAAGGGGUCACACUCCAGGAUGGAGGUCAGACGGCCUGUGUGUGAUGUGGCUGGACCAGGAGGACAGGAGGAGCUGAGGAUUGCAAACAAGAAGGAGGGAAGUGAGAAUGAGGACUCAGGAAGGACAAAGGACAUGGACUCCAAGAUGGGGAUACUGGGCUGCAAAACUGGGUCCCAGCUCUGCCCCAGCUGGCUGUGUGGCUCUGAACAGCAGACAAGGCAUGCAGAGCGCCCACCCUGGGCAGGAAAUACCCAAGAAGGCUUGGGGUGGCACAUUUCGCUCUGGCAGCCCCA